GCCUAUACCACCCUGAAUACAUCCCAUCUUGUCUAAUCUUGGAAGCUAAGUAGGAUCAGACCUGGUUAUUAUUUGAACAGGAGACUGCCUGGGAAUGCUGGGUGUUGUAGGCU
ensembl:rRNA nuclear encoded rRNA 5S 52